GUGAACGCUGGCGGUAGGCCUAACACAUGCAAGUCGAACGGCAGCACAGUAAGAGCUUGCUCUUACGGGUGGCGAGUGGCGGACGGGUGAGGAAUACAUCGGAAUCUACUUUUUCGUGGGGGAUAACGUAGGGAAACUUACGCUAAUACCGCAUACGACCUACGGGUGAAAGCAGGGGAUCUUCGGACCUUGCGCGAUUGAAUGAGCCGAUGUCGGAUUAGCUAGUUGGCGGGGUAAAGGCCCACCAAGGCGACGAUCCGUAGCUGGUCUGAGAGGAUGAUCAGCCACACGGGAACUGAGACACGGUCCAGACUCCUACGGGAGGCAGCAGUGGGGAAUAUUGGACAAGGGGGGCAAGCCUGAUCCAGCCAAACCGCGUGGGUGAAGAAGGCCUUCGGGUUGUAAAGCCCUUUUGUUGGGAAAGAAGAGCAGCAGGUUUAUACCCCGCUGUUCUGACGGUACCCAAAGAAUAAGCACCGGCUAACUUCGUG
rnacentral:rRNA from 1 species